rnacentral:tRNA from 1 species
GGGGGCGUAGCUCAGUUGGUUAGAGCGCUUGCCUGUCACGCAAGAGGUCGCGAGUUCGAGUCUCGUCGUCCCCG